AUACGGAGGGGGCUAGCGUUGUUCGGAAUUACUGGGCGUAAAGCGUACGUAGGCGGACUGAUCAGUUGGGGGUGAAAUCCCAGGGCUUAACCCUGGAACUGACUUCAAUACUGUCAGUCUUGAGUUUGGGAGAGGUGAGUGGAAUUCCUAGUGUAGAGGUGAAAUUCAUAGAUAUUAGGAGGAACACCAGUGGCGAAGGCGGCUCACUGGCCCAUUACUGACGCUGAGGUACGAAAGCGUGGGGAGCAAACAGGAUUAGAAACCCUAGUAGUCC
rnacentral:rRNA from 1 species